UCAAAGGCAUCAGCUUCCAAAUACAUCUCUUUGGCUUUCGAAAGAUCCAAACGUAUACCUUCUGUCAUUCGAUGUUCCUCCAAUGGACAUUUUCCUUUCCAAUGCAUGUCAGCGAUUCUUCUUCUCUUCAUUUUUGGCAGGACCACCAUUCCUAUGGCUUUGAAGAAGCCGAGAAAUGAUGUAUUCCAAUUUUUCACUUCUGAAGUUA
rnacentral:lncRNA from 1 species